UAAGGGAUAUUGGUCAAUGGGCGAAAGCCUGAACCAGCAACGCCGCGUGGAGGAAGAAGGCCUUCGGGUCGUAAACUUCUUUGGCGAGGGACGAGAGCGGACGGUACCUCGCGAACAAGUCACGGCUAACUACGUGCCAGCAGCCGCGGUAAAACGUAGGUGACGAGCGUUAUCCGGAUUUACUGGGCGUAAAGCGUGUGCAGGUUGGCGGACAAGUGGUGUAUGGAAGCACCCGGCUCAACCGGGUGAGGGUAGGCCAGACUGUUCGCCUGGAGGCAGCCAGAGGGACAUGGAAUUCCGGGUGUAGUGGUGAAAUGCGUAGAGAUCCGGAGGAACCCCAGAGGCGAAGGCGGUGUCCUGGGGCUGACCUGACACUCAGACACGAAAGCAUGGGGAGCGAACGGGAUUAGAAACCCCGGUAGUUCAUGCCGUAAACGAUGCGGACUAGGCGUCGGGGGACUCAACCCCCUCGGUGCCGGAGCUAACGCGCUAAGUCCGCCGCCUGGGGAGUACGGCCGCAAGGCUAC
rnacentral:rRNA from 1 species